rnacentral:misc_RNA from 1 species
UCUCCGUAGGUGAACCUGCGGAGGGAUCAUUACAGAGUUCUAGCACUCACGGGUCGAUCUCCCCCCCACUGUUAUCGUUACUGUGUUCCUUUGGCGGGCCGCCGGCCCCCGCGCGGCCGCCGGAUCCGGCUUGGACGCGCCCGCCAGAGGUCAAGCAAACACGCAAAGUGAGAGUACUCUGAGUAACAGAUAAUAGGUAAAAAUUUCAACAACAGAACGCUUCGGUUUGGCAUCGAUGAAGAACGCAGUCGAUUGGAAGAGCAUACGUUUGAAUGCCAG